ACCCUGGUGGCUCAGAGGGUAAAGCGUCUGCCUGCAAUGCAGGAGACCUGGGUUCAAUCCCUGGAUUGGGAA
rnacentral:tRNA from 1 species